AUGAACGCUGGCGGCGUGCCUAAUACAUGCAAGUCGAGCGAACGGACGAGAAGCUUGCUUCUCUGAUGUUAGCGGCGGACGGGUGAGUAACACGUGGAUAACCUACCUAUAAGACUGGGAUAACUUCGGGAAACCGGAGCUAAUACCGGAUAAUAUUUUGAACCGCAUGGUUCAAAAGUGAAAGACGGUCUUGCUGUCACUUAUAGAUGGAUCCGCGCUGCAUUAGAUAGUUGGUAAGGUAACGGCUUACCAAGGCAACGAUGCAUAGCCGACCUGAGAGGGUGAUCGGCCACACUGGAACUGAGACACGGUCCAGACCCCUACGGGAGGCAGCAGUAGGGAAUCUUCCGCAAUGGGCGAAAGCCUGACGGAGCAACGCCGCGUGAGUGAUGAAGGUCUUCGGAUCGUAAAACUCUGUUAUUAGGGAAGAACAUAUGUGUAAGUAACUGUGCACAUCUUGACGGUACCUAACCAGAAAGCCACGGCUAACUACGUG
rnacentral:rRNA from 1 species